UUGAUCCUGGCUCAGCUCGAACGCUGGCGGCAUGGCUAAAACAUGCAAGUCGAGGGCGAAACCUUCGGGGUGGAGACCGGCGAAAGGGCGAGGAUACCUUGGAACGUACCCGGAGGUGGGGGAUAGCGUCGGGAAACUGGCGGUAAUACCCCAUGUGCUCUACGGAGGAAAGCUUCGGCGCCUUCGGAGCGGCCAAGGUCCUAUCAGGUUGUUGGUGAGGUAAAGGCUCACCAAGCCUAUGACGGGUAGCGGGUGUGAGAGCAUGACCCGCCGCAUCGGAACUGAGACACUGUCCGGACUCCUACGGGAGGCUGCAGUAACGAAUCUUCCGCAAUGCACGCAAGUGUGACGGAGCAAUGCCGCGUGCGGGACGAAGCGGCUCCGCCGUGUAAACCGCUGUCAGGCUCUAGAAAGAACUGAUCGGAGCCAGAGGAAGGGCCGGCUAAUCUCGUGCCAGCAGCCGCGGUAAGACGAGAGGCCCGAGCGUUGAGCGGAAUCACUGGGCUUAAAGGGUGCGUAGGCGGAGCGGCAGGUGUCUUGUGAAAGCCCACGGCUCAACCGUGGAAUUGCAGGGCAAACCACCAUUCUUGAGGUCGGUAGAGGAUGUCGGAACGUUGGGUGGAGCGGUGAAAUGCGUAGAGAUCCAACGGAACGCCAAUGGUGAAGACAGGCAUCUGGGCCGAACCUGACGCUGAGGCACGAACGCGUGGGGAGCAAACAGGAUUAGAUACCCUGGUAGUCCACGCCGUAAACGAUGUGCACUGGGUCGAUGCCGCUCUGACGCGGUGUCGGCCGUAGAGAAAUUAUUAAGUGCACCGCCUGGGGAGUACGGUCGCAAGGCUAAAACUCAAAGGAAUUGACGGGGGCUCACACAAGCGGUGGAGCAUGUUGCUUAAUUCGGAGCAACGCGAAGAACCUUGCCUGGGCUUGACAUGUAUGGAUUAGGUUAUGGAAACAUAAUUGACGCGGCUUGCCGUGGAACAUACACAGGUGCUGCAUGGCUGUCGUCAGCUCGUGCUGUGAAGUGUCGGGUUAAGUCCCUUAACGAGCGCAACCCUUGUCGCUAGUUGCCAGCGAGUCAUGUCGGGGACUCUAGCGAGACUGCCGGUGUCAAACCGGAGGAAGGUGGGGACGACGUCAAGUCAUCAUGGCCCUUACGUCCAGGGAUGCAAACGUGCUACAAUGGCGUGUACAGAGCGAUGCGAGGCCGCGAGGCGGAGCAAAUCGCAAAAAGCACGCCCCAGUUCGGAUUGCAGUCUGCAACUCGACUGCAUGAAGCCGGAAUCGCUAGUAAUCGCGGGUCAGCAUGCCGCGGUGAAUACGUUCCUGAGCCUUGUACACACCGCCCGUCAAGUCAUGGAAGCCGGGAGCGCCCAAAGUCGCUGCGAUUCAGCAGUGCCCACGGCGAGACUGGUGACUGGGACUAAGUCG
rnacentral:rRNA from 1 species